rnacentral:rRNA from 1 species
AACGAACGCUGGCGGCAGGCCUAACACAUGCAAGUCGAGCGAGAUCUUCGGAUCUAGCGGCGGACGGGUGAGUAACGCGUGGGAACGUACCUUUUGCUACGGAAUAGCCUCGGGAAACUGGGAGUAAUACCGUAUGUGCCCUUCGGGGGAAAGAUUUAUCGGCAAAAGAUCGGCCCGCGUUGGAUUAGGUAGUUGGUGAGGUAACGGCUCACCAAGCCGACGAUCCAUAGCUGGUUUGAGAGGAUGAUCAGCCACACUGGGACUGAGACACGGCCCAGACUCCUCCGGGAGGCAGCAGUGGGGAAUCUUAGACAAGGGGGGAAACCCUGAUCUAGCCAUGCCGCGUGAGCGAUGAAGGCCUUAGGGUUGUAAAGCUCUUUCAGCUGGGAAGAUAAUGACGGUACCAGCAGAAGAAGCCCCGGCUAACUCCGUGCCAGCCGCCGCUGUAAGAC